ensembl:snoRNA
ACCCUCCUAUUCCCUUUCCCAUCGGAUCCUUGACACUUAUCUCUGUGGUCAUAAAGGAGGGACACUGACACUGAAGGUGGCCUCACAGCAUGUAGUCUGGUAUACAGCAUGUGGGCUACAUUCAAACAGGG